rnacentral:rRNA from 1 species
GAGUUUGAUCCUGGCUCAGGAUAAACGCUGGCGGCGCACAUAAGACAUGCAAGUCGAACGAACUUAAUUCAUUCUUUUAGAUUGGAAGCGGUUAGUGGCGGACUGGUGAGUAACGCGUGAGCAACCUGCCUAUUAGAGGGGAAUAACAGUGAGAAAUCAUUGCUAAUACCGCAUAUGCUUACACUAUUGCAUGAUAGAGUAAGGAAAGGAGCAAUCCGCUAAUAGAUGGGCUCGCGUCUGAUUAGCUAGUUGGUGGGGUAGAAGCCUACCAAGGCGACGAUCAGUAGCCGGACUGAGAGGUUGAACGGCCACAUUGGGACUGAGAUACGGCCCAGACUCCUACGGGAGGCAGCAGUCGGGAAUAUUGCGCAAUGGAGGGAACUCUGACGCAGUGACGCCGCGUAUAGGAAGAAGGUUUUCGGAUUGUAAACUAUUGUCGUUAGGGAAGAAAAAAGACAGUACCUAAGGAGGAAGCCCCGGCUAACUAUGUGCCAGCAGCCGCGGUAAUACAUAGGGGGCAAGCGUUAUCCGGAAUUAUUGGGUGUAAAGGGUGCGUAGACGGGUGUUUAAGUUGGUUGUGAAAUCCCUCGGCUCAACUGAGGAACUGCAACCAAAACUGGAUAUCUUGAGUGUCGGAGAGGAAAGUGGAAUUCUUAGUGUAGCGGUGAAAUGCGUAAAUAUUAGGAGGAACACCAGUGGCGAAAGCGACUUUCUGGACGAUAACUGACCUUGAGGCACGAAAGUGUGGGGAGCAAACAGG